CCCCUAUUCAGUCUGCCCAUUCAAUCUCCAGGCCUUCAGGAUUGAGGACCCCAGUUUAUCAGCCCUCAGAUCAUUCUGCUACUCACUUCUCAGCCUUUAGAAGUCCCUUUCCCACUCUCAUUUCAAAUGCCCCUCAAUUAACAAAAAUGAGAUUAUACUAAUAAUAGUAAUGACCAAUACUCAUUUACUAAGCACCAGGCAUUCUUUUAAGCACUGUAUAUUCGGGAAGUUUAUCUUCGUAACAACCUGUGAAAAGGGUACUAUCAGGAUUCUACUUUCCAGACGAGAAAACUGAGGCAUAGAGAGGUUAAGGGACUUUUCAGGUUAUACAACUAGAAAGCCCUGGAGCCCAUAGGUAUCCAUCUGAGCCUCAAGGUAAAACGCGUGCCUUGAUCUAGUUGCUAUUUAACUGCUGCAUCACCUUUGCUGGGCUGCCUCCCGUCUCUGGAUCUUCGUCUCCCCACUGGUAAAAUGGAGGGGAUGGGAUCUAAUGUCACUAGGGGUCUUCCCAUUUCUAUUGAAUUUCAGCCUUCCGAUCAGCCUAACCUCUCAGACCCCCACCAGGCCCCAGGGGCUUCCCGAGGCCCCAUCACGUCCAGGCUGGACACUCUCCAUCACCACACCAGCUCCGCCCGCAGCCCUGGGAUGCCUGGCUGCCAGUGGCCUGCGAAAGAGGUCCCCGAGCCUGGCCCGGAAGGGGCGAGAGAGGUAGAAGCAGAGGAGGGGGCUGACAGCGCAAUUGGAGUAGGCCAGGAGAGUGCAGAGGCUGGAGGCCACGUAAGCCACGGGCGUGGCAGGCAGGUCACCCACAGCUGCCACGUAGCCCAGCACGGAGCAGGGCCCCCACAUCAGCAUGAAGACCACCAGCACUACGAGGAUGAGCCCGGUGUUCUCCCGAUGCUCCCGGGCGCUCUCCCCCAUGGGGCCCCGGGGCUGCGUCCACAGGAGCCAGCCCAUGUGGCCGAAAGAGCAGCCCAGCCCCAGCACGCAAGGCAGGAAGGCCAGGGCUCCCAGGAGCGUGAAGUAGCAGGAGGUCUGAGCAGGGUUCAGAAGCAAGAGGCAGGCCCAGGCCCCCUCCUCCACGACUGCUCGCUGGAACAGCCAUGUGGGCAGCGAGGCUGUGAGGCCCAGGGCCCACAUGGCCCCGCAGAGCAGCCGGCGAGCACCCGGGCCGGACGGGAGGGCCAGGUCGGGCCGGGCCACAGCCAUGUGGCGCAGGAGCGCCGUGGCCACCAUGCUGUAGAAGGUGCAGAACAUGGUGGCGCUGUUGGCGGCCUGGCUGGUGGUGCAGACGGUGGGGCCCAGCCACCAGUCCUGCUGCAGGAAGCUCAGCAGGAGCACCGGCACCACACAGGCCAGGAAGAGCAGGUCGGACAGCGUGAUGUUCACCAUGAGGCUGUUGGUCAAGGAGAGGAGCGGGCAGGGGGCGCCCGGGCCCCGGCCCACCAGCAGCAGCAUCAGCCCAUUGGCCAGCAACCCCACCAGCAGGAUGAGGCCACAGACCCCCGCAAAGACGAGUCGGAGCGGUUGCUCGGC
rnacentral:lncRNA from 1 species